rnacentral:rRNA from 1 species
UACGGGGGGGGCAAGCGUUGUUCGGAAUUACUGGGCGUAAAGGGCUUGUAGGUGGCCAACUAAGUCAGACGUGAAAUCCCUCGGCUUAACCGGGGAACUGCGUCUGAUACUGGAUGGCUUGAGUGUGGGAGAGGGAUGCGGAAUUCCAGGUGUAGCGGUGAAAUGCGUAGAUAUCUGGAGGAACACCGGUGGCGAAGGCGGCAUCCUGGACCAAUUCUGACACUGAGGAGCGAAAGCCAGGGGAGCAAACGGG